UUAAAUUGAAGAGUUUGAUCAUGGCUCAGAUUGAACGCUGGCGGCAGGCCUAACACAUGCAAGUCGAACGGUAACAGGAAGCAGCUUGCUGCUUUGCUGAC
rnacentral:rRNA from 12 species